rnacentral:rRNA from 1 species
CCAGCAGUUCGGCUGGGCACUCUAAAGGGACUGACCGGUGUUAAACCGGAGGAAGUGGGGAUGACGUCAAGUCCUCAUGGCCUUUAUGACCAGGGCUACACACGUACUACAAUGGCCGAUACAAAGGGCAGCGACACGUGCGAGGUGAAGCCAAUCCCGUAAAAUCGGUCUCAGUCCGGAUUGGAGUCUGCAACUCGACUCCAUGAAGUUGGAAUCGCUAGUAAUCGUGGAUCAGCAUGCCACGGUGAAUACGUUCCCGGGCCUU